GGAAUCCGAAUUGUUUACCGAUGAGAAU
rnacentral:sRNA from 1 species